CCUACGGGAGGCAGCAGUGGGGAAUAUUGGGCAAUGGGAGAAAUCCUGACCCAGCAACGCCGCGUGGAGGACGAAGGCCUUCGGGUUGUAAACUCCUGUCAGUAGGGAAAAAGGCUGCAAAAGCCAAUACCUUUUGCAGCUUGAUGGUACCUGCAAAGGAAGCACCGGCUAACUACGUGCCAGCAGCCGCGGUAAUA
rnacentral:rRNA from 1 species